rnacentral:lncRNA from 1 species
AUGCUCAAAAUUCUCCAAGCCAGGCUUCAGCAAUACUUGAACUGUGAACUCCCUGAUGUUCAAGCUGGUUUUAGAAAAGGCAGAAGAACCAGAGAUCAAAUUGCCAACAUCUGCUGGAUCAUGGAAAAAGCAAGAGAGUUCCAGAAAAACAUCUAUUUCUGCUUUAUUGACUAUGCCAAAGCCUUUGACUGUGUGGAUCACAAUAAACUGUGGAAAAUUCUGAAAGAGAUGGGAAUACCAGACCAUCUGACCUGCCUCUUGAGAAACCUGUAUGCAAGUCAGGAAGCAACAGUUAGAACUGGACAUGGAACAACAGAGUGGUUCCAAAGAGGAAAAGGAGUACGUCGAGGCUGUAUAUUGUCACCCUGCUUAUUUAACUUCUAUGCAGAGUACAUCAUGAGAAACGCUGGGCUGGAGGAAGCACAAGCUGGAAUCAAGAUUGCCGGGAGAAAUAUCAAUAACCUCAGAUAUGCAGAGGACACCACCCUUAUGGCAGAAAGUGAAGAGGAACUAAAAAGCCUCUUGAUGACAGUGAAAGAGGAGAGUGAAAAAGUUGGCUUAAAGCUCAACGUUCAGAAAACGAAGAUCAUGGCAUCUGGUCCCAUCACUUCAUGGCAAAUAGAUGGGGAAACAGUAGAAACAGUGUCAGACUUUAUUUUUCUAGGCUCCAAAAUCACUGCAGAUGGUGACUGCAGCCAUGAAAUUAAAAGAUGCUUACUCCUUGGAAGAAAAGUUAUGACCAACCUAGAUAGCAUAUUGAAAAGCAGAGAUAUUACUUUGCCAACAAAGGUCCGUCUAGUCAAGGCUAUGAUUUUUCCUGUGGUCAUGUAUGGAUGUGAGAGUUGGACUGUGAAGAAGGCUGAGUGCCGAACAACUGAUUUUUUUGAACUGUGGUAUUGGAGAAGACUCUUGAGAGUCCCUUGGACUGCAAGGAGAUCCAACCAGUCCAUUCUAAAGGAGAUCAGCCCUGGGAUUUCUUUGGAAGGAAUGAUGCUAAAGCUGAAACUCCAGUACUUUGGCCACCUCAUGUGA